rnacentral:lncRNA from 1 species
AUCAAAAUAGUAAUAUUGCACAUGCAAUAUGUGGAUCGACUUACAUAAAUUUAAACAAAAACACUACAAACUCAUUAAUGGCGGAGCACCAAGUAAAACAUCAAAAUCUUUGUCAAACCCUUGUUUUCAUAUAUCAUUUCAAAGGCAUAACAUUUAGUGAUGCCAUGCAACUUUAGUAGAGAAGCAGAAAUCAUCUGGGCAUUGAUAAAUGGAGCAACUAAUCUGUCUCAAUAUCAUGCAACAUGCAUCAAGAAUCUUUAUUUAAACACUUGUUUGACAGAAAGGACGCAACAUUCAGGAUGCCUUAUGUACUUUUGAUCUAUAGACUAUUAACAACACCGUAAUUCCUAAAAAUGAAUCACCACCUAGGGGUUGGUGACCAGUUUGCAGAAGAGGAGCAGAUCGCAUUGUGUCAUUUGAAAUAUCCAUGGAGAGGGAAAUGAACACAUAAGUCUCUAGUAAACUCUCACAGGAUGAUGGAGACAGCAAACUGAUGAAUCACACAGUGGCGUCAGGACGUGUUGAGCCGCAACAAACCCUGUCGAGUGGGACAAGUCACACACUGAUACCAGGAGGUGUCUACCACAGUUGAUUCUUGUGAGAGUCCGCAGAAGAUUUAAAAUUUUAAAUACAAAUAAUAGUCCAAGAUAAGAUCAAUAAUUCAUUGAUCUUGUUUAUUUAUUAGAAAAGAUUUGUCUUCAGCAUGAUAGUCAUAAAUACUUCAGAUGUAGAAGAGUAUGAAAAGUAGUGUUUUGAGACUAAUAAUGGAGAUGCCAAAAAGUACCUAUUUCGUCUGAAAUGCAAGUCUAUGCAUUAUCAAUUAUGCCUUAUUACUCCACUGAUGCAAAUGGCUACUUUUAUUACAAUAAGUGUAUGUAAUGAGAAGAGAAAACUGCACUAUGCUUACAUAAUUUAGCCUGGUGAUGCAAGUGGCCACUGUUUUUACAGGAAUGUUCAUGCGAUUUGGAGAGAGAAAGUAUAUAAUGUUCACACUGGAAGAUGAGACAGUUCCAUAUCAAUCUCAAUACGGAAACUGAAGUAAUAUACAUUGACAUAAUAGGAAGAAACGGCAACAAUACCCAACAACAAAUAUCACAUACACCUGAGAGCUAUCAUCAUCCAUGUGACCUUGAAACUGCACAAGGAAAUGUCAUGACAAAAGUUUUAUAUUGUCGGACAGGAUACAACAACCAUGUAUCUUUUUAAGAAAGUUGACAAUCAGCUCAUAAACAAAGUACCUUGCUAAUUGCAAAACAUCCUCCAGUAUCAUUUGUGUAUUAUUAUGUAGCAAAGCUCCCUACCAUCCUAUUAGCCUAACAAACCUGCUGAAGCUCUGCAUAUAGCAAAUACAAAAGUCGGAACAAAUUAAGAAAAUCGGUAUUAAGAGGAGAUGAGUAGUAUGCCUACGGGGAUAAGAUAAUAGGAUGGAUCAACAUGAACAGUGAACAAAUAUGUGUUAUCCCCGGAAGACAUUUGUACAUAACGUUUUGGUCUUUUUCCAUGAGAAUGCCAUGAACCUAUGAGUGUGGAGUGUGUGUGAACGGUUCCAAAAUCAGGAAGAGCAAGGUUGAGUUGAAAAACAACACACGCAUCAGUACAUGCAGUUCAAUAUCCCAAUGCCCUUAACAAUUUCUACCACUCCUGAUCCGAAUGUGUUUCCAAUUUGCUCAAAUAGGUUGUUACCUAUCUUUGGCAAGUGUACGUGAACUAAUAUUUGAAAUUGAUCAUAAGUUCAAUCAAGAAUUUGGGCCCUGAACAAUACUGAUUUUGUAUUUAUCUGCAGAGAUGCAUCAUUAUCGUAUUUGUCUUUCAAUGUUCGGAAAAGAAGUUUGAAGAAUAGAGCAGUAGCAGCCAAAAGAGUAGUUUAGAAUCUACGUUUGAGUUUCAAACCCAAUUUUCCACACAAAGCCUUUCGUCUUCUCCACCAAAUCAUGGUAUUGCCUUCUUAUGAAAUCUUUUGUUUUCAUUUAUGAUGUUUUCCUGCACUAUCAGAGCAGGUUAUUUCAAAUAAGCCCCAAAUAGUCUACGUGAAGCAAUAAAGUGGGAAUUAGAAAAAAUCAACAGCAAAACUAUGUCUUAUGAUUUGGUAGCUUAAAAGGGAUGAUAUUAUGAGUUUAAACAAUGGCUGACAUAGUCGCAAAGGUUCACCUGCCAACUUUUUUCAUCCCAGUAGACAUGGAAAUUAGUAGUCACUGAUCUAGGAUAAAGUAGAUGAAAAGAAAGAUGAGAAAUAGAGAGCACCUGUGAUAAACACGGACAUCCAAGGGACUUCAGUGUCCCAUUGUUCUCGUCUUGGCCGCCACCACACCUCUUCCCCGUGGCAACCUGGACAAGCGACAAUCAACAGAGUGCAGUACAAAAGAACACAUGUCAUUGAUGCCCGGGGAUACUGGAGUGUGGGUAUAGUAUGUACUGGAGUAAGUUGAAGGCCUCAACGCUUCCCUGUUUGUGUAGUUCAUGAUGGUAUGUUCAGUCCACAUAGAUGUACGAUUUCGAGGAAACACAUUAUUUGUCUUAUGAAAUGCUUGUCAGUAUUGCAAGAGUGAGCAGUAAUGAAGCUCAACACAAUAUUGUCAGGCAGUUGACAAAAGGAAAGAAACCUGACUAGAACCUAACGCACAUGAUUCAGCGUUUUGGUGGAUCAAGUGCUUUCUGAUGUACGUGAGUUUGAGAAAACAAACAACAGAUGAAGAGAUUGAGAAGGAAAGAAAUGUCAGGGGUAUACCUGUAUGGAUGAGACAAGAGGGCAUCGCUAGGAGCAGGUAACUCGGCAGCGGCAGGGAGGAGAUCCAUGGUCCGCGCCGCACACUCGCACGCGCGUCAUCGUUCGCUGGCGG